GAAUGCUGACAUAAGUAACGAUAAAGCGGGUGAAAAGCCCGCUCGCCGGAAGACCAAGGGUUCCUGUCCAACGUUAAUCGGGGCAGGGUGAGUCGACCCCUAAGGCGAGGCCGAAAGGCGUAGUCGAUGGGAAACGGGUUAAUAUUCCCGUACUUGGUGUUACUGCGAAGGGGGGACGGAGAAGGCUAUGUUGGCCGGGCGACGGUAGUCCCGGUUUAAGCGUGUAGGCUGGUUUUCCAGGCAAAUCCGGAAAAUCAAGGCUGAGGCGUGAUGACGAGGCACCACGGUGCUGAAGCAACAAAUGCCCUGCUUCCAGGAAAAGCCUCUAAGCAUCAGGUAACAUCAAAUCGUACCCCAAACCGACACAGGUGGUCAGGUAGAGAAUACCAAGGCGCUUGAGAGAACUCGGGUGAAGGAACUAGGCAAAAUGGUGCCGUAACUUCGGGAGAAGGCACGCUGACACGUAGGUGAAGUGAUUUACUCACGGAGCUGAAGUCAGUCGAAGAUACCAGCUGGCUGCAACUGUUUAUUAAAAACACAGCACUGUGCAAACACGAAAGUGGACGUAUACGGUGUGACGCCUGCCCGGUGCCGGAAGGUUAAUUGAUGGGGUCAGCGCAAGCGAAGCUCCUGAUCGAAGCCCCGGUAAACGGCGGCCGUAACUAUAACGGUCCUAAGGUAGCGAAAUUCCUUGUCGGGUAAGUUCCGACCUGCACGAAUGGCGUAAUGAUGGCCAGGCUGUCUCCACCCGAGACUCAGUGAAAUUGAACUCGCUGUGAAGAUGCAGUGUACCCGCGGCAAGACGGAAAGACCCCGUGAACCUUUACUAUAGCUUGACACUGAACAUUGAGCCUUGAUGUGUAGGAUAGGUGGGAGGCUUUGAAGCGUGGACGCCAGUCUGCGUGGAGCCGACCUUGAAAUACCACCCUUUAAUGUUUGAUGUUCUAACGUGGACCCGUAAUCCGGGUUGCGGACAGUGUCUGGUGGGUAGUUUGACUGGGGCGGUCUCCUCCUAAAGAGUAACGGAGGAGCACGAAGGUUGGCUAAUCCUGGUCGGACAUCAGGAGGUUAGUGCAAUGGCAUAAGCCAGCUUGACUGCGAGCGUGACGGCGCGAGCAGGUGCGAAAGCAGGUCAUAGUGAUCCGGUGGUUCUGAAUGGAAGGGCCAUCGCUCAACGGAUAAAAGGUACUCCGGGGAUAACAGGCUGAUACCGCCCAAGAGUUCAUAUCGACGGCGGUGUUUGGCACCUCGAUGUCGGCUCAUCACAUCCUGGGGCUGAAGUAGGUCCCAAGGGUAUGGCUGUUCGCCAUUUAAAGUGGUACGCGAGCUGGGUUUAGAACGUCGUGAGACAGUUCGGUCCCUAUCUGCCGUGGGCGCUGGAAGACUGAGGGGGGCUGCUCCUAGUACGAGAGGACCGGAGUGGACGCAUCACUGGUGUUCGGGUUGUCAUGCCAAUGGCACUGCCCGGUAGCUAAAUGCGGAAAAGAUAAGUGCUGAAAGCAUCUAAGCACGAAACUUGCCCCGAGAUGAGUCUUCCCUGAGACUUUGAGUCUCCUGAAGGAACGUUAAAGACGAUGACGUUGAUAGGCCGGGUGUGUAAGCGCAGCGAUGCGUUGAGCUAACCGGUACUAAUGAACCGUGAGGCUUAACCUU
rnacentral:rRNA from 1 species